UAGGGAAUCUUCGGCAAUGGACGAAAGUCUGACCGAGCAACGCCGCGGGAGUGAAGAAGGUUUUCGGAUCGUAAAACUCUGUUGUUAGAGAAGAACAAGGACGUUAGUAACUGAACGUCCCCUGACGGUAUCUAACCAGAAAGCCACGGCUAACUACGUGCCAGCAGCCGCGGUAAUACGUAGGUGGCAAGCGUUGUCCGGAUUUAUUGGGCGUAAAGCGAGCGCAGGCGGUUUCUUAAGUCUGAUGUGAAAGCCCCCGGCUCAACCGGGGAGGGUCAUUGGAAGCUGGGAGACUUGAGUGCAGAAGAGGAGAGUGGAAUUCCAUGUGUAGCGGUGAAAUGCGUAGAUAUAUGGAGGAACACCAGUGGCGAAGGCGGCUCUCUGGUCUGUAACUGACGCUGAGGCUCGAAAGCGUGGGGAGCAAACAGG
rnacentral:rRNA from 1 species